AGACGUCUACAUUAGAUACCCCUGUAGUCCCAGCCGUAAACUAUGCGCGUUAGGUGUAUCGGUGACCACGAGUUACCGAGGUGCCGAAGGGAAACCGUGAAACGUGCCGCCUGGGAAGUACGGUCGCAAGGCUGAAACUUAAAGGAAUUGGCGGGGGAGCACAACAACGGGUGGAGCCUGCGGUUUAAUUGGACUCAACGCCGGACAACUCACCGGGAACGACAGCAAUAUGUAGGCCAGGCUGAAGACCUUACCUGAAUCGCUG
rnacentral:rRNA from 1 species